rnacentral:rRNA from 1 species
ACUACGGGAGGCUGCAGUGGGGAAUAUUGCACAAUGGGCGCAAGCCUGAUGCAGCCAUGCCGCGUGUGUGAAGAAGGCCUUCGGGUUGUAAAGCACUUUCAGCGGGGAGGAAGGCGUUAAGGUUAAUAACCUUGGCGAUUGACGUUACCCGCAGAAGAAGCACCGGCUAACUCCGUGCCAGCAGCCGCGGUAAUACGGAGGGUGCAAGCGUUAAUCGGAAUUACUGGGCGUAAAGCGCACGCAGGCGGUCUGUCAAGUCGGAUGUGAAAUCCCCGGGCUCAACCUGGGAACUGCAUUCGAAACUGGCAGGCUAGAGUCUUGUAGAGGGGGGUAGAAUUCCAGGUGUCGCGGUGAAAUGCGUAGAGAUCUGGAGGAAUACCGGUGGCGAAGGCGGCCCCCUGGACAAAGACUGACGCUCAGGUGCGAAAGCGUGGGGAGCAAACAGGAUUAGAUACCCUAGUAGUC